GGGUCUUUAGCUCAGUGGUAGAGCAUUUGACUACAGAUCAAGUGGUCACUGGUUUAAACUCGCUAAGGCCU
rnacentral:tRNA from 1 species